rfam:Dipodomys ordii contig_49361, whole genome shotgun sequence.
GGUGGCUCAGUGCUAGAGCACUUGCCUUGCAUGCAUGAGGCCCUGGGUUCGAUUCCUCAGCACCA